rnacentral:sRNA from 1 species
UCUACAUUCAUCUCUCAAUAUGCACUCAUUGAGUCUGGUUUUCUUUGUAAUUUUCUUGGGACGGAUGGCGGCGAGUCAAGACACAAGAUCCAUAGAGCUUCACAAUUCGCCUGGUCAAGUAUCAUUCAUUGCAUUGGGAAACCAAGCCAGGAUAUGGGAGGGACAUGUUAAAAGUGCUCCUCGCAGAACUACACCGAAACCCAAAAUCAUCGAAACCGAUGAACAAAACAAGGAUGGAGUAAAAGUGCAGAGUGCAGAUUUCUGAGCUGAUAAAGUAAAGUUGAUAUAGUUCAGCAAAUAAAUCUGUUCCCAUAACCACAAGGUCUGGAAGUGGUGACCGCAUAUUGUUAACAAUUAUACAAUGAAUUAUCUACCAUUGAUAACAAAGGCAGAAAACAAGGCAGAUAACACAUAUUCCGCGAUCCGACGUGAAGGACCAAAGCCGACGGUGUCGCCUUGCUGAAAGCUUUCUGGAGGUAGCCAAGAUCAGAGGAGCAUUUUUAGAGGAGUGUAGAAAGGAGUGGGCUCACGGGGCACCAAGAUUUAUACACCAAUUUGCCAAGUUGUAUUGUAAAACUAAUAAAUUGUCGCCGCUAACUUGAAUAAUGUGU